rnacentral:rRNA from 1 species
CCUACGGGAGGCAGCAGUGGGGAAUUUUGGACAAUGGGCGAAAGCCUGAUCCAGCAAUGCCGCGUGAGUGAAGAAGGCCUUCGGGUUGUAAAGCUCUUUUGUCAGGGAAGAAACGGUGAGAGCUAAUAUCUCUUGCUAAUGACGGUACCUGAAGAAUAAGCACCGGCUAACUACGUGCCAGCAGCCGCGGUAAUACGUAGGGUGCAAGCGUUAAUCGGAAUUACUGGGCGUAAAGCGUGCGCAGGCGGUUUUGUAAGUCUGAUGUGAAAUCCCCGGGCUCAACCUGGGAAUUGCAUUGGAGACUGCAAGGCUAGAAUCUGGCAGAGGGGGGUAGAAUUCCACGUGUAGCAGUGAAAUGCGUAGAUAUGUGGAGGAACACCGAUGGCGAAGGCAGCCCCCUGGGUCAAGAUUGACGCUCAUGCACGAAAGCGUGGGGAGCAAACAGGAUUAGAUACCCUGGUAGUCCACGCCCUAAACGAUGUCUACUAGUUGUCGGGUCUUAAUUGACUUGGUAACGCAGCUAACGCGUGAAGUAGACCGCCUGGGGGAGGUACGGUCGCGAGAGUUAAACGUACAAGUAGAGUUAGACGGACGUGAGACGNGCCGACGGACGACGACGAGGGAGGAGG